rnacentral:tRNA from 1 species
UCCGAGAUCGUCUAAUGGUAGGACCCAAGACUCUGAAUCUUGGUAUCUAGGUUCGAAUCCUAGUCUCGGAA